GGGAGGCGGGGAGGGGGCUGCUGUGUUUAUCCAAGUGCUCCAGCGGCUGCGGGAGUUUUCUGCUUGUGUUUAUAUUUUCAGAAGGGGGCUGAAGAGCUAUGCCCAGACUGGAGCACGAGUCUGCUUGCUGGUGUGUUUCUCAGUCCAGUUUGAUUUUUUAAAGGUACCCUCCAUGGGACAGAACUCUGCUUACAAACUUUAAAACUGGAUGAUGCAAAAAUUACCUGCACAGCAGAGGAGGACAACGAACCAUAGUUUCAGAGGAUGCAUGGAAACACCUGAAUGUCCAGGCAGAAGUCUCCUGCAGAGGUGGAGCCCUCAUGAAAAACCUCUACUAGGGCAAUGCAUAGACGAAAUGCUCAUACAUGGAAGAGAGUUGCCUUGUCUGAGAUGAGACAUUGGACUGUGGACUUUUGAGUUAAUGUUGGAAUGAGUUAAGACUUUGGGGGAAUGUUGGGAAGGCAUGUUUGAUUUUGCAAUGUGAGAAGGACAUGAAAUUUUGGAGGGGCCAGUGAUGGAAUAAUAUGGUUUGGCUCUGGGCCCCCACUGAAAUCUCAUCUUGAAUGGUAAUCCCCAUGUAUUGAGGAAGGAUCUGGUGGGAGGUGAUUGGAUGGUCAGGGCAGUUUUCCCAUACUGUUCUCAUAAUAGUGAGGGAGAGCUCAUGAGAUCUGAUGGUUUAAAAGUGGCAGUCUCCCCUGUGCUUGCUCUCUCUGCUGUCACCUAGUGAAGAAGGUACUGCUUCUCUUUCACCUUCUGCCAUGAUUGUAAGCUUCUUGAGACCUCCAGCCAUGUAGAACUGUGAAUCAAUUAAAUCUCUUUUAUUUAUAAAUUACCCAGUCUCAGGUAGUUCUUUCUAGUAGUGUGAACUGCUAGAAAUACAAUGGGGUUAGUGUCCCUAUAAGAAGAGCAAUAGACCCCAGAAUUUUCUCUCUCUCUUCCCUCACAGUAUGAGGACACAUAUUGCAGGCAGCCAGGAACUGGUCCUCACCAGAAUCAAAUCUGUGAGCACCUUGAUCUUGGACAUCCCAGUUUCCAGAACUGUGAGAAAGAAGUGUCUGUUAUGUAAUCCUCCUAGCAUCUGGUAUUCUCUUCUAGCAGCCAGAGCUUACAAAGACAACUAUGUUCUUGGCACUGAC
rnacentral:lncRNA from 1 species